rnacentral:misc_RNA from 1 species
GAACGCACCUUGCGCCCUUUGGCCAUUCCGAAGGGCAUGCCUGUUUGAGUAUCAUGAACACCUCAACUCUCAUGGCUUGCCAUGAUGAGCUUGGACUUUGGGGGUCUUGUCGGCCUGCGGUCGGCUCCUCUCAAAUGGAUCAGCUUACCAGUGUUUGGUGGCGUCACAGGUGUGAUAACUAUCUACGCUUGUGGCUUUCCAUCAGGUAACCUUCAGCGAUGGAGGUUUGCUGGGGGCUCAUAAAUGUCUCUCCUCAGCGAGGACAGCUUUUUUGAACGUUUGAUCUCAAAUCAGGUAGGACUACCCGCUGAACUUAAG